rnacentral:rRNA from 1 species
ACUGGGGAUAAUUCCGGAUAGGCCACAGACGCUGGAAUGCACUGUGGCUCAAAGCUCCGGCGCCGAAGGAUGGGUCUGCGGCCUAUCAGGGUUGUAGUGGGUGUAAUGUACCUACUAGCCUACGACGGGUACGGGUUGUGAGAGCAAGAGCCCGGAGAUGGAUUCUGAGACACGAAUCCAGGCCCUACGGGGUGCAGCAGGCGCGAAAACUUUACAAUGCGGGAAACCGUGAUAAGGGAAUCUCGAGUGCCAGCAUAUAAUGUUGGCUGUCCAGAUGCCUAAAAAGCAUCUGUUAGCAAGGGCCGGGCAAGACCGGUGCCAGCCGCCGCGGUAACACCGGCGGCCCGAGUGGUAACCGCUUUUAUUGGGUCUAAAGGGUCUGUAGCCGGCCAUGUAAGUCCCUUGGGAAAUCUGGCAGCUCAACUGUCAGGCUGCUAGGGGAUACUGCUUGGCUUGGGACCGGGAGAGGUGAGAGGUACCUUGAGGGUAGGGGUGAAAUCUUGUGAUCCUCGGGGGACCACCAGUGGCGAAGGCGCCUCACCAGAACGGGUCCGACGGUAAGGGACGAAAGCUAGGGGCACGAACCGGAUUAGAUACCCGGGUAGUCCUAGCCGUAAACGAUGCUCGCUAGGUGUCAGUCACGGUGCGACCGUGAUUGGUGCCGUAGGGAAGCCGUGAAGCGAGCCACCUGGGAAGUACGGCCGCAAGGCUGAAACUUAAAGGAAUUGGCGGGGGAGCACUACAACGGGUGGAGCCUGCGGUUUAUU